rnacentral:rRNA from 1 species
CAACAGCGUAUAUUAAAGUUGUUGCAGUUAAAAAGCUCGUAGUUGGAUUUCUGGUUGAAGCGACCGGUCGGGCGUUGAUUCGUCUGCACUGGAGUCGGUUUUGGCCAUCCUCUAGGAAAGUGCGUCUGGUAUUAAGUUAUCGGGCGUAUGAUCCUGGUCUUUUACUGUGAAAAAAUUAGAGUGUUUAAAGCAGGCCUUCGCCUUGAAUACAUUAGCAUGGAAUAAUAAGAUAGGACUUUGGUCUAUUUUGUUGGUUUGCAGACCGAAGUAAUGAUUAAUAGGGAUAGUUGGGGGUAUUUAUAUUCCGAUGUCAGAGGUGAAAUUCUUAGAUUUUCGGAAGAUAAACUUAUGCGAAAGCAUUUACCAAGGAUGUUUUCAUUAA